rnacentral:rRNA from 1 species
CCUACGGGAGGCAGCAGUGGGGAAUUUUGGACAAUGGGCGAAAGCCUGAUCCAGCAAUGCCGCGUGCAGGAUGAAGGCCUUCGGGUUGUAAACUGCUUUUGUGAACAGUGCGGUACCGUAAGAAUAAGCACCGGCUAACUACGUGCCAGCAGCCGCGGUAAUACGUAGGGUGCAAGCGUUAAUCGGAAUUACUGGGCGUAAAGCGUGCGCAGGCGGUUUUGUAAGACAGAGGUGAAAUCCCCGGGCUCAACCUGGGAACUGCCUUUGUGACUGCAAGGCUAGAGUACGGCAGAGGGGGGUGGAAUUCCGCGUGUAGCAGUGAAAUGCGUAGAUAUGCGGAGGAACACCGAUGGCGAAGGCAACCCCCUGGGCUGACUGACGCUCAUGCACGAAAGCGUGGGGAGCAAACAGGAUUAGAUACCCCAGUAGUC